AGUGAACGCUGGCGGUAGGCCUAACACAUGCAAGUCGAACGGCAGCACAGUAAGAGCUUGCUCUUACGGGUGGCGAGUGGCGGACGGGUGAGGAAUACAUCGGAAUCUACUUUUUCGUGGGGGAUAACGUAGGGAAACUUACGCUAAUACCUCAUACGACCUACGGGUUAAAGCAGGGGAUCUUCGGACCUUGCGCGUUUGAAUGAGCCGAUGUCGGAUUAGCUAGUUGGCGGGGUAAAGUCCCACCAAGGCGACGAUCCGUAGCUGGUCUGAGAGGAUGAUCAGCCACACUGGAACUGAGACACGGUCCAGACUCCUACGGGAGGCAGCAGUGGGGAAUAUUGGACAAUGGGCGCAAGCCUGAUCCAGCCAUACCGCGUGGGUGAAGAAGGCCUUCGGGUUGUAAAGCCCUUUUGUUGGGAAAGAAAAGCAGCAGGUUAAUACCCCGCUGUUCUGACGGUACCCAAAGAAUAAGCACCGGCUAACUUCGUG
rnacentral:rRNA from 1 species